AAGGAAUGGCUCAUUAGAAAAAGAAUAUUGUAAUGAAUUGUUUUUAUACCACUCCAGGUGGCGUUUUACAUAUAAACAUUACACAAUAGACUACGAAGGAAACUUUACAAUUAAUAACAAAUCUCAAGGCAGACAGUGUAUAUUUAAAUUGGACCUCAUUGGAAAUAUGCUGGACUCCGGCCUAAUGGGCGUUCCUGAUGCUCAUUACGUGAUGUAGACAAAGAAGCCACAACUGUCAGGGAAGAAUGUCCGGACUCAAUCGUGAAAGGGCAACAGAACCAAUUAUUCAUAGAUAGCCAAAAAUUGUGUCACUCAUCAAGCUUCCUGCAAAAAUUCUGGAUAUGAAAUUAAUUAAAAUAUAGUGUAAAUUUUAUUUUUUAAAUGUUUUUCUAGUUCUCUGCAAUAAUCUAAAAAAUAAUGUUAGCAAUAUGUAGUAAUUCUUG